CCUACGGGUGGCAGCAGUGAGGAAUAUUGGUCAAUGGGCGCGAGCCUGAACCAGCCAAGUCGCGUGAGGGAAGACGGUCCUAUGGAUUGUAAACCUCUUUUGUCGGGGAGCAAAAGACGACACGCGUGGCGUUCCGAGAGUACCCGAAGAAAAAGCAUCGGCUAACACCGUGCCAGCAGCCGCGGUAAUACGGGGGAUGCGAGCGUUAUCCGGAUUUAUUGGGGUUAAAGGGUGCGCAGGCGGAAGAUCAAGUCAGCGGGAAAAUUGAGAGGCUCAACCUCUUCGAGCCGUUGAAACUGGUUUUCUUGAGUGAGUGAGAAGUAUGCGGAAUGCGUGGUGUAGCGGUGAAAUGCAUAGAUAUCACGCAGAACUCCGAUUGCGAAGGCAGCAUACCGGCGCUCAACUGACGCUCAUGCACGAAAGUGUGGGUAUCGAACAGGAUUAGAUACCCGAGUAGUC
rnacentral:rRNA from 1 species